GAUGAACGCUGGCGGCGUGCCUAAUACAUGCAAGUCGAGCGAACAGACGAGGAGCUUGCUCCUCUGACGUUAGCGGCGGAUGGGUGAGUAACACGUGGAUAACCUACCUAUAAGACUGGGAUAACUUCGGGAAACCGGAGCUAAUACCGGAUAAUAUAUUGAACCGCAUGGUUCAAUAGUGAAAGACGGUUUUGCUGUCACUUAUAGAUGGAUCCGCGCCGCAUUAUCUAGUUGGUAAGGUAACGGCUUACCAAGGCAACGAUGCGUAGCCGACCUGAGAGGGUGAUCGGCCACACUGGAACUGAGACACGGUCCAGACUCCUACGGGAGGCAGCAGUAGGGAAUCUUCCGCAAUGGGCGAAAGCCUGACGGAGCAACGCCGCGUGAGUGAUGAAGGUCUUCGGAUCGUAAAACUCUGUUAUUAGGGAAGAACAAAUGUGUAAGUAACUAUGCACGUCUUGACGGUACCUAAUCAGAAAGCCACGGCUAACUACGUG
rnacentral:rRNA from 1 species